rnacentral:rRNA from 1 species
UACGAAGGGGGCUAGCGUUGUUCGGAAUUACUGGGCGUAAAGGGCGCGUAGGCGGCUCUGAUCGUCGGAUGUGAAAGCCCUGGGCUCAACCUGGGAACUGCAUUCGAUACUGUCAAGCUAGAGUGUGGGAGAGGGUAGUGGAAUUCCAGGUGUAGCGGUGAAAUGCGUAGAUAUCUGGAGGAACACCGGUGGCGAAGGCGGCAUCCUGGACCGGCAUUGACGCUGAGGCGCGAAAGCUAGGGGAGCAAACGGG